ensembl:lncRNA
GAGCAGGCAUCGGGAAAGGACAUCAGGAAGCUUCCCGGCAUCUUGAUGUAGGAUGGCCGUCUGAAGCAGGCAGUGAGGACAGAUGGAGAUAAAGGGCCACUGAGAAGAAGGGCUUAGACCUAUUAUCUUCAUGCCGCUGGCAUACACCAGUCUAGAAAUCCAGCAGUACCAAGAUGUCCAGCAAGAACUGCAGUGUGGCCCCAAGCCGACCCAGUGGAGAAGGGUUCUGAGGUUAAACCUACAAAGGUUUCAAAUGUUCUCUCCACUCAUGCUCUGUGACCAAAGGCAAGUCAUGUAAUCUCUAAUGCCCUUUUCUUACUUAUAAAAGGAAAGCACCAACCAGCCUUUAAAAUGAGUUGGUGAUGCUGAAUGGGGCAACGUAUGUAAUAGAGUACCAGGCAUAAAAUACUUGUUUGAGUAAACCGAAGCUAAAAUUAUUGCUGCUGCUGUUGGCAAACCUUUAAAAAUUGCCUUCAUAGUUCAAUUUUUAUAAAUCCUGUUUUAGCAUUAGCUACCAAAUCAUGUUCAGGUGCCCAAAGAACAUUGCCUACAUUUUUCCCAUGGUUGCCAUGGGGGUAAAAUCCCCUUAUGUCCAGCUGACAAAACAGUAGGGUUCAAAAGAACUUUGAUCAGACACAGAACACAGGAUGAGCUGCAAUGCUACCAGCUUCAGAAUGCUUGGUCUCCUGAACACGACAGCAGCAAUGUCAUCUCUGAAACUGAGAGGACUCUGGACGAGGAUCUCAUAGCCAAAGAGAUACACACACAUGGGUCUGAACAGAGUCCCUGAGUGAACAAAGUCUAGAUUGCAGGAAAUUCUGCAUGCAUGGAUACCAGAAUAUUCUCCAAUAACUAGUUGUUGAGCGCUGCCCCCAAAUGCUGUUGCCUAGGCAGCAGAACAUCCAGUGAUGAACUGUGGAAUGGGGAAAAUAAGAAAACAGAUCAAGAAAAAUGGCACGACCUUUGGGAAACAGGAAAAGCAGAACAAGGGCCAGAGCUGCAUUUAACGCUCUGCUCAACCAAUGCUUUGCAGACCAGAAGGGUCUGGCUUUCGUUUUUUAGCCUCUCUGUCUUGCUUCUUUAAUUUUCUCUUCUUUUACUUUACCAACAACAGGUCAGAAGUUCUCUCAAAUGCUCCAACCUUGAAGCAAAUCAAUGUGCAGCUCAGCCCCAUGGGGCAGAAACUGCAUGGAGGGCAGAUGUAAUAAUAGGGAUGUGUUAGAAACACCUCUUGAGGUUUUAAGAAACAUUCGUGUGCCCUGAAAAUACUCUGCCCGCUCCUGUCUCCCCAGGCAGACACUUCAGCAUCCAGCACUCACUGCCCAGGGGAAGGGAUAGCAUCACAAAAAUUCCAUGAGAAAGAAAAAGUCAAUUUUGACUUGGGAGUUUCAGAUUUGAAACUCACAGUUUAGGGCAGAGACUUUUUUUACAUCUCAAAAACUCAACAGAAAACUCUUUCUCCAAAGGGUUGGGCAGAGAAAAGGAAGAGAGGAAAAUCAGCAGUGAGAAGAGGUAGCUGGACAUUCUGUGUGUCACACUCAGCAAGUACUAGUGAGGAAGGCACACAGUGGAGACCUCACAAGGCUCUAGGGCAUUUAAGAACUUUCCAGAGAGGAGCCAACUUGCUGUAAGGUAGUAUCCAGGAAAGCUGCAAAGUGUGUAGGGAGUUGGACAGCGGUAUGGCAGACAAUAAGAUCUUCAUCAGUAACAGAGCAACCAAAGAACGAGCAAAUGGAAGACUUGGAGAGGCCUGGAAGGUAGAAGGAGAAAAUGCAGCUGCUAUCUUUGUAGACAUGAGCUCAGAGGGCUGAUAGGAAGUAGGGAACGCGGGGACCAUGAGGUCACAACUCCAGGGACCAGCCCUCCUCCAUAAAAAUUCACACAGCCCAACAUCCUGAACUGAUUGGGGUUCUUUUGGUUGCCAUUGUACUUUAUAGACUAGCCUAGCCCAAAAUUCUCAAUUCUCCUGCCUCAACCUCCAUAGUACUGGGACUAUAGCUCCUCCCAUCCCCAUCCCUUGGGAGGUAGGAGUUCUCACCACUGCUGUUUUUCAAUUGGUUGAUUGGUUGGUUGGUUGAUUGGUUGGUUGGUGGUCGGUCGGUCGGUUGGCUUUGUAUUGUUUUGAUGACUGAGAUUACAUUUCCACUACCUGGCAGAAUAGAGUCUAGAAGAGAAAGAGGAGGAGGAGGAAUAAUUUUAAAGACAUCUUUACACUUUGUACAGCUGACCACAUGUCGUGUCAUGUAGCAUCAUCAUUGCUAAUACUAAGCAUUACGGAUCUGUCUUGAAAUCACUUCCUGUGUGCCUGCCAUCAGAAGCAGCACAUCCAGCCAAACACUUCACAACAUUUGCCUACCUAUUCUUCCCAAUCAUCCUCUUCAAGUGGAUAUUAUUUUUCCCUCCUUUACAAGGAAGAAAGCAAAACAGAGGCUUUAGUAUGUACCCAAAGUCUCACAGCUAUUAAAAGGCAUGUCCACCACUUUUUCAGUCUUUCUCCCACUAAGGAACAGCCAAGUGGCUUUUGCUUAAACAAUGGAUCUGGAACAACCCUAAGUAGUGUGCCGGGUGAGGGUCUCGGGGACAGGAUACAGCACUGAAAAUCACAUCCCCAAACAAGGCCCACUGGUAGGAGCUGCUCUUCCAGCCUCAACCCACAGAGCUGAGCUGACUUCCCUGUGGGCCAGCGUCCAAGUGACUCAGCAUCACUGCAAACCUUUCCCAGGACAUCAGCGUGUCUCCGGUGUUCUCCUUGACCAUCUAUAAACGCUUACAUUUGCAGCCUGAGAACACCCAAAUACUACUGCAUCCUUGCCCGGUAUUGGCACGGGUAACUGGAAGGACAGAUCUAACAGCAGUUUUGUCUGUGCUUUAGAACCAUCACAGAUCCCUGCUCAGUAUGCAUUUGGGAUGAUUUAUCAUUUGCUCGAUGAGCUGAUGGCUUCCUGAGGUCUGAUUUUAAGCCUCUCGUGCUGCCUGGUGGAACUGAUGUCAGCCAGGCGGCAGAGCCCUGUCAAAGGCUGGGAAGGAGCUAUUUCAAAGUAGGGAAUAAAUAAUCUUUUGAGUAACAAGUUUUAGCUAAAAGGAGAGCUUUGCUCCAAAGCAAGUCAGUUGGACACAGCUUCUGCAGUGUGCAUCCUGUCCUCAGAAAGUGAGAGUUCCAACGAGAAUGUGUCUUGCCCCACACUGGGACAUUUGAGGGCCACCUGAAGGCUGCAGUUCCAGCUGUAUGCACUCAGUGCUUAAUUGUCACUACCCAACAGCAAAUCCUUUUCCUUCCAAAUUAAAACUUCCCCUUUAAUCCUAAAAC